rnacentral:rRNA from 1 species
AUUGAACGCUGGCGGCAGGCCUAACACAUGCAAGUCGAGCGGAGGAAGGGAGCUUGCUCCUGGAUUCAGCGGCGGACGGGUGAGUAAUGCCUAGGAAUCUGCCUGGUAGUGGGGGAUAACGUCCGGAAACGGGCGCUAAUACCGCAUACGUCCUGAGGGAGAAAGUGGGGGAUCUUCGGACCUCACGCUAUCUGAUGAGCCUAGGUCGGAUUAGCUAGUUGGUGGGGUAAAGGCCUACCAAGGCGACGAUCCGUAACUGGUCUGAGAGGAUGAUCAGUCACACUGGAACUGAGACACGGUCCAGACUCCUACGGGAGGCAGCGGUGGGGAAUAUUGGACAAUGGGCGAAAGCCUGAUCCAGCCAUGCCGCGUGUGUGAAGAAGGUCUUCGGAUUGUAAAGCACUUUAAGUUGGGAGGAAGGGCAGUAAGUUAAUACCUUGCUGUUUUGACGGUACCAACAGAAUAAGCACCGGCUAACUUCGUG